ensembl:lncRNA
UGUAUGAGGCGUACAACAAUAAUGAAGAAUUAGGUCCCACAGUUAUGAUGACAAAUAACUUUAUUUCUGCUGUUGAGUGUUAGCAACAGUUUUAACUGGAAAAAGGAGUGGCCGUGGUUUAAGGACAAGGUCAGCAUCCCUCCAAGGUACCCUGAGGUGGCCAGUCCUGGAACAACCAGUCCUGUUGUUCCCAGCAGGGAAAGGCACCGCCUGGGUGCACAGGGAACAAAAAAUAUUGUUUGACUGGGCUGAAUAACUGACAGUAGUGCGAAUUGCAAAGGGACGACAUCAACACAGACUGAAUAUUCAGCAUGAAUGCUGACAUUUCUUGAACUAUGCAUAAUAGCUGGGAAGAACAAGCACAUUUCCGGAGACUUGUUGGGAGAAAUCCAUAAGAAGUAUUAGACUAUGACCAGUAUCCUGGCUUCCAGGAGCUCUGCACUCCCCCAUCACACACCCCAGGGAUGAUGAAGACCCAUCUGCCUCAGCUCAUCUCCCAGACCCUUCAUACACAUUUCACUGUGACCAGUGCUGUCACAAGUGCAGAUGGCGUACCUGCCUCGCUGGAACCAGAUGCACGUUCUACUGUCUGCUCAGUUGCCAAGGCAGAAUAAUGCAAACUGUACACAUGUGUACUCAAGAACC